GAGUUUGUGAGGCUUCCAGACCAUGUAAAGACAGAGGAGCUGCUAUUCAAUAUGUAGCAGUAGGAGGAAUUUAAAGAUGAUGCAACCUGCCGAGGGAGAAAAAAGAUGGGGAAAGGUAUAGGGUGAGCUGACCUCGGCAGCUGCAGUCGCCUUCUUUCGGUCAUCGAGCGAGGGUCGUCUCCUUUUCUAGCUGAAGCAAACAUUCUCACAAAUAUCACAUGAGAAGAACCUGAAAAGGAGAUAAUAUAUUACCGAAAAAGCUUAGUUGGAUG